AUCCCUCAGACCCUUUCUUCAUCCCAAACGUCUUCAAAAAUUACUCUCUCUCUCUCUCUCUCUCUCUCUCUCUCUCUCUUUGCCCUUGCCACGACCGAGACCUGUUUUGUUUUCGCCGCCGCAUCCUCUACCACGGAGAAAAGCUCCCAAAGCUGUUGACAAAGAUCUCUAUAGGAUCUCGCCGGAGCUCCUUCUCGCCAAGCACCGAAGAGUUGAAUCUGAGUACCUCCCUCUGUACACUAACUAUGGUCUAGGUCUUACCACUUGGAGUCCACUUGCAUCAGGAGUUUUGACUGGAAAAUAUAACUCUGGAACCAUCCCACCUGAUAGUCGGUUUGCAUUGGAAAAUUA